AACAUGGAUGCCCCCCGAGCCGUGCUUGUACUCUACUAAACUCUGCUGAUAGUCACACACGGACAAGACAGCUGCAAUUGGGGAAAAUAUGGAGAAAACUGCAGCAAAGACUGCCCUUCCAACUGUAUCGCCAAUCCAGGGAGAAACAUCAGGCACUGCCACAAGGAGACAGGGAGGUGCUCGGAGGGGUGUGUGCCGGGGUGGUUUGAGGAUCUCUGUGAUCAAGCCUGCAGCAAGAACUGCUUGAGAAACAUCUGUAAUCGCCAAAAUGGCAUCUGCACGUUUGGCUGUAGUGGAAGCUACACAGGCGACUAUUGUAACAUUUUACAAGUAGACGCAUCUACGAAAGGUUCUAUUGACUCAACCACGAACGGUCCUAUCGACACUACCACAACACAACCCACGAAUCUUGCUGCGAUUCUUGUCCCUGUGAUCAUCGUCAGUAUCAUCGUUGCUAUCAUCCUUGCUGUGGUGGUGCUCAGACUAAGGAGGAACAAGUCGAGAAGAAAACGGAAAGAGGGG